AGAGUUUGAUCCUGGCUCAGGACGAACGCUGGCGGCGUGCCUAAUACAUGCAAGUCGAGCGAAGUUUUUCUGGUGCUUGCACUAGAAAAACUUAGCGGCGAACGGGUGAGUAACACGUAAAGAACCUGCCUCAUAGACUGGGACAACUAUUGGAAACGAUAGCUAAUACCGGAUAACAGCAUUAACUGCAUGGUUGAUGUUUGAAAGUUGGUUUUGCUAACACUAUGAGAUGGCUUUGCGGUGCAUUAGCUAGUUGGUGGGGUAAAGGCCUACCAAGGCGACGAUGCAUAGCCGACCUGAGAGGGUGAUCGGCCACACUGGGACUGAGACACGGCCCAGACUCCUACGGGAGGCAGCAGUAGGGAAUCUUCCGCAAUGGGCGAAAGCCUGACGGAGCAACGCCGCGUGAGUGAAGAAGGAUUUCGGUUCGUAAAGCUCUGUUGUUAGGGAAGAAUGAUUGUGUAGUAACUAUACACAGUAGAGACGGUACCUAACCAGAAAGCCACGGCUAACUACGUGCCAGCAGCCGCGGU
rnacentral:rRNA from 1 species